UACGUAGGUGGCAAGCGUUGUCCGGAGUUAUUGGGCGUAAAGCGCGCGCAGGCGGUGCGGUAAGUCUCUGGUGAAAGCGCUCGGCUUAACUGGGCGAGGGCCGGGGAGACUGCCACGCUGGAGGGGAGCAGAGGCGAGUGGAAUUCCGGGUGUAGUGGUGAAAUGCGUAGAUAUCGGGAGGAACACCUGUGGCGAAAGCGGCUCACUGGACCACAACUGACGCGUGAGG
rnacentral:rRNA from 1 species